UCAACUUUAAAAUUGGUCUUCUUAAUCAUAUAUUAACUGUAAUCUGCUUUGCUGUUUAUUUGUGGUUAUGAGUCCUAAUGUUGUUAUUUUUCGAAAGUCAACUGACUUUUGUUACGUUUUAAAAUACUUCGUGCCAUACAAACGGUUUAAAAAAGUGAAAAUGGGGGAUAAAACUGCUUCAGUUUCCAAGGUAUAUCACCAUUCUGUGAAUGUUUCCAUACAUAAUUACACUUCUGAAAGGUCACGCUCGCCGAGCGUGUUGGUGAAUGCUUGGAUCGCCCGCUAACAUGGAGACGCUGCAUGGGAGUCUUCUUAGCUUCGCCUUAAUCGCUUCAAGAACUUACCGGCGUACUUGUAGCUAUCAGAGACAAGUAAUAAUUCCUUGUCGCUGGUAGCUACGCUGUCGCCGGCAUCGCUCCCCGGAUUUAAGGCUACUAGGCCCUCUCACUAACGACAAAGUGAUGACUCCCCCAGAGAGGGAAAAAGUUGAUCCUUUAACAUAAACGGAUCAAAGCUGUAAGGAAAAGUGGUCAUUAGUAAAUAAAAGCAGUUUAAAGAG